rnacentral:rRNA from 1 species
ACCCGCUGAACUUAAGCAUAUCAAUAAGCGGAGGAAAAGAAACUAACAAGGAUUCCCCUAGUAACUGCGAGUGAAGCGGGAAAAGCUCAAAUUUAAAAUCUGGCGGGUUCUGCCCGUCCGAGUUGUAAUUUAGAGAAGCGUUAUCCGCGCUGGACCGUGUACAAGUCUCCUGGAAUGGAGCGUCAUAGAGGGUGAGAAUCCCGUCUUUGACACGGACUGCCAGGGCAUUGUGAUGCGCUCUCAAAGAGUCGAGUUGUUUGGGAAUGCAGCUCAAAAUGGGUGGUAAAUUCCAUCUAAAGCUAAAUAUUGGGGAGAGACCGAUAGCGAACAAGUACCGUGAGGGAAAGAUGAAAAGAACUUUGGAAAGAGAGUUAAACAGUACGUGAAAUUGUUGAAAGGGAAACGCUUGAAGUCAGUCGCGCCGUUCAGGACUCAGCCUUGCUCUGCUUGGUGUACUUCCUGUUCGGUGGGUCAGCAUCAAUUUUGGUCGGUGGAUAAAGGUUCAGAGAAUGUGGCAUCUUCGGGUGUGUU